UUGAUCACCAACACACACAGGUGUUGUAAAACUGUCAAAAUGACCUCAAUGUUUUUGUUUACAUCCGCGACGAGUCCGAUAGUUCGCGAGGCUCCGAACUUUUUUCGCGUUUUUCCGCGGUUUCGCGCUUUAUUCGGCUUUGGAAAUGCCUUCCGUAAAACGAGCUUCCCGGCGCUUUCACGUACCCGCGAUUCCGCUUUCAUUCGCCGGUCGAUAUGCCAUUUUAUGUUGUGGAAUCUGCGAGGGAAUUGUACGCUGGGAAAGAGAAUUGUUCGACGAAGAAUAUUUCAUUGCACGAAUGGAAUUUUCUUAAUGGAUGGUCCGGACCAAUGGUAUGAAUGGAUUUGGGCUUCGUUCUGCCCUUUUGCAACGACGAUGGGAUAAUUAUUAUCGCCAGUUCGCCUCGAAGACCGCAACUAACGCUUCCUACUGACGCUGUACGAAUCAUCUUUAAACUUUGGCGGACGGGCCGCUAGUGUACCCUCAGGACCUCUUCGAGACCUGAGCAAAAAUAUCAUUAUGAUGUACCCUCAGGCUCUCUGAGACUAGAGCAAAAUUUGUGUCUGAUGUAUUUUCACGACCUCUUAUUGAGACCUGAACAAAAUAGUUUCUCUCUGUUUCCAGGAGCAAAUUGACUAAUCAAUAAAUGUAUAUGUCUU